GCCUUGCGGAAAGGUCUCGCCUCCCUCGCCCUUCUCACUGCGUGGUCCAUCUGGCGCCACCGGAAUGCAUGCAUCUUCGACCACAUGCACCCCUCCUCUACGCUACUUCUACAGAUCAUCAAGGACGACGCUCGGGCAUGGGCUUCUGCCGGGGCCAAGGACAUUGCAAACUUUAUGCCUCCCUGA
rnacentral:rRNA from 1 species